GUGCUUACUUCAGCAGGACAUGUACUAAAAUUAGAACAACAAGGAGAUUAGCAUGGUCUCUGCGCAAGGGUGACAUGCAAAUAUGUGACGUUAAUCAUCUAGAU